CAUCCUCCAAGGCUAAAUACUCCUGACUGACCGAUAGUGAACCAGUACCGUGAGGGAAAGGCGAAAAGAACCCCGGCGAGGGGAGUGAAAAAGAACCUGAAACCGUGUACGUACAAGCAGUGGGAGCCCCACCACCAAAGCAUUCUCUGGUGUUGAAGGCCCUGCAAAGCAGCAUCGCGGUGGCGGAGCGUCGUUUGCGACGCCCAACACACAAAACAAGCGGUGAAUGCUUUGGGGUGGGGUGACUGCGUACCUUUUGUAUAAUGGGUCAGCGACUUAUAUUCUGUAGCAAGGUUAACCGAAUAGGGGAGCCGGAGGGAAACCGAGUCUUAAUUGGGCGUUAAGUUGCAGGGUAUAGACCCGAAACCCGGUGAUCUAGCCAUGGGCAGGUUGAAGGUUGGGUAACACUAACUGGAGGACCGAACCGACUAAUGUUGAAAAAUUAGCGGAUGACCUGUGGCUGGGGGUGAAAGGCCAAUCAAACCGGGAGAUAGCUGGUUCUCCCCGAAAGCUAUUUAGGUAGCGCCUCGUGAAUUCAUCUCCGGGGGUAGAGCACUGUUUCGGCUAGGGGGCCAUCCCGGCUUACCAACCCGAUGCAAACUGCGAAUACCGGAGAAUGUUAUCACGGGAGACACACGGCGGGUGCUAACGUCCGUCGUGAAGAGGGAAACAACCCAGACCGCCAGCUAAGGUCCCAAAGUCAUGGUUAAGUGGGAAACGAUGUGGGAAGGCCCAGACAGCCAGGAUGUUGGCUUAGAAGCAGCCAUCAUUUAAAGAAAGCGUAAUAGCUCACUGGUCGAGUCGGCCUGCGCGGAAGAUGUAACGGGGCUAAACCAUGCACCGAAGCUGCGGCAGCGA
rnacentral:rRNA from 1 species